UGUCCCAUAGCUUAACGGUAAGGCGCUCCCUAUCUGUUGCAUUUAUACGGGGGGAUAUGCGUUCGAACCGCGUUGGGACCA